rnacentral:misc_RNA from 1 species
UAAAAAGAAUAUAUCGUGGUUAACUCCUCCAGCUUGAUUCAGUUUAUGAUUUCUCUCUUCAACACCACAAACUCCCAAAUGAUCAGCGAAUCUCUUGAAAUUGAUGCCCUAUAUCCAUAUUUAAUUGUUUUAUAGUGUUUGUCUACUCUUUGAUUGCUCGACAAACAACAUGCAACCGCUGAUCAUCUUCAUGAGGUUGAUUGCCACUACUAAUACCAGUACUGACCAUCGUAAUGAGGGUGAAAUCCUUACUCUGAUACCACCUAACAAAUUGAAUCUUUUUGUUG